GUGCCAGCAGCCGCGGUAAUACGUAGGGGGCAAGCGUUAUCCGGAUUUACUGGGUGUAAAGGGAGCGCAGGCGGUGCGGCAAGUCUGAUGUGAAAGCCCGGGGCUCAACCCCGGUACUGCAUUGGAAACUGUCGUACUAGAGUGUCGGAGGGGUAAGUGGAAUUCCUAGUGUAGCGGUGAAAUGCGUAGAUAUUAGGAGGAACACCAGUGGCGAAGGCGGCUUACUGGACGAUAACUGACGCUGAGGCUCGAAAGCGUGGGGAGCAAACAGGAUUAGAUACCCUGGUAGUCCACGCCGUAAACGAUGAUUACUAGGUGUGGGGGGACUGACCCCUUCCGUGCCGCAGUUAACACAAUAAGUAAUCCACCUGGGGAGUACGACCGCAAGGUUGAAACUUAAAUGAAUUGACGG
rnacentral:rRNA from 1 species